AUUUUUGAUAAGGCUUAUCAAGUGUAGUAUCUGUUCUUAUCAGUUUAAUAUCUGAUACGUGAACCAAUGGUCCACACGACCACACGAUAUUAACUCAAUUUUUUUAGGGAGAAGGCCCAUUAAGGUAGCUUGCUACCUAGGCUUUCAGGCGUCGCCAUAGCGUUACACUACUGCUUUGGCCUGGCGCAUCCUAA
rnacentral:snRNA from 1 species